rnacentral:rRNA from 1 species
GCGAACGCUGGCGGCAGGCCUAAUACAUGCAAGUCGAGCGGUCCCUUCGGGGGCAGCGGCGGACGGGUGAGUAACGCGUGGGAACGCGCCCUUUGGUACGGAACAACUGAGGGAAACUUCAGCUAAUACCGUAUGUGCCCUUCGGGGGAAAGAUUUAUCGCCAUUGGAGCGGCCCGCGUUAGAUUAGCUAGUUGGUAGGGUAAUGGCCUACCAAGGCGACGAUCUAUAGCUGGUCUGAGAGGAUGAUCAGCCACACUGGGACUGAGACACGGCCCAGACUCCUACGGGAGGCAGCAGUAGGGAAUCUUGCGCAAUGGGCGAAAGCCUGACGCAGCCAUGCCGCGUGAAUGGUGAAGGUCUUAGGAUUGUAAAAUUCUUUCACCGGGGACGAUAAUGACGGUACCCGGAGAAGAAGCCCCGGCUAACUUCGUGCCAGCAGCCGCGGUAACAC